CCUACGGGAUGCACCAGUGGGGAAUAUUGCACAAUGGGCGCAAGCCUGAUGCAGCCAUGCCGCGUGUAUGAAGAAGGCCUUAGGGUUGUAAAGUACUUUCAGUUGGGAGGAAGGCGUUGAUGCUAAUAUCAUCAACGAUUGACGUACCAACAGAAGAAGCACCGGCUAACUCCGUGCCAGCAGCCGCGGUAAUACGGAGGGUGCAAGCGUUAAUCGGAAUUACUGGGCGUAAAGCGCACGCAGGCGGUUGAUUAAGUUAGAUGUGAAAUCCCCGGGCUUAACCUGGGAAUGGCAUCUAAGACUGGUCAGCUAGAGUCUUGUAGAGGGGGGUAGAAUUCCAUGUGUAGCGGUGAAAUGCGUAGAGAUGUGGAGGAAUACCGGUGGCGAAGGCGGCCCCCUGGACAAAGACUGACGCUCAGGUGCGAAAGCGUGGGGAGCAAACAGGAUUAGAUACCCUUGUAGUC
rnacentral:rRNA from 1 species